AUACAUUCUAUUUAGCAAAAAAGAUAGUGUCAGAAAAUGGUUACAAUGUUUCUAGACCAAAAUGCAGAGAAACCUUUUUGUAACUCUUGCUCCAAACUUUUCUAAAAGAGAUGACAGAGGAAUUUGUGGGGCGUUUUGGGAAAAAUCCUCCUCCUGUGGUCACAUAAUAAUAACAUUCCAGCCUCUGAGAAACAUAGUGAGGAUGCUUUGAAGUUACCAUGUUCUUAUACAAGAAAAGACAUGCUUAUAAUAUCCCAUAUUGUUUAUUUGAAAGCAACUCAAAGCUGUUAAAUAAACAACACAAUAAUGUAUGCACGCUUAUACUCACUGAGUUAAACCUCAGAGGGUAUAGAGGACAUGUUAUGGCUAACCUCCAGUUCCAGAGCUGAAGAGACUGCCAGGAACUCUGGUUUGUCAGCAUCCAGAGUUUAAAUUUUACUUUUAAAAGUCCUUGCUUCCCAUGUGUCUCUCUCAUACACCAGCACACAAACAUUGUAGUGUGUAUUAGAAACCUCUUAGGUAAAGCAAGCAGUUCUUAUCAAGUGAGAUGGACUUGAAGGUUAACUACUCCUUUAAGAAUAUCUGUGUUUUAGGUGGCUGCUAGGGCGUUCUGUGUUUUCUGUUGUGUUAUGGAUAAUUAGACAAUAAAAAAAGUGUAAUAUAUGGCAAAGUAAAUUGAUUGGACUUUUUCCAUCUGUUUUAUCUGUCAGUUGAACCCUAUUUGAGAAAUACUGACAGGCAUACAAAGAUAUAAAAGGGAAAUUAGAACAUCACAAAACGUUUGAGUUGCAGAAGGUAAAUUAAAACCUCAUUAAAAGCUUGAGUUGCAGUAUGAGCACAUGCUAGAAGACAUCUCAUUCCUCACAGGGGGGCGUUUUGGUUUUGACACAAGUGAUUCAACUUUGAGAGUAUGCUCAGUAUUUUUCUGCAUAGUCAUUGGCCUGCUUUGGCAGCUUUGAUUCAUUUUUAAUCCAUAAUUUUUAUUUAUUUAUUUUUUUCUUCUGAUUUUGAACAAAGAAGCUGCUUUCCCCAAACAACCAUUACUGCAGGAUUGCUUGAUUUAUUGAUUGAUUGAUUGGGUAAUUUACAGGAGUGAAAGUGAUCUUAUAUAAAGAAACAUGACACACAAUAUAUUAAAAUCAUUAAAGGCAUGACUUUCACAUUUGUCUGGGAAAUGAACCCUGGUUAAAUUCACCUGGUAAAUGUAGUUUAAACAUUACUUAUUGAUUUGUCUACUUUAAAUUUGCACCAUUAAAUCACAAUUUACCAUUUGUCUUUAAAUAAUAUAUUCACAAAAAUUGGUGAAUUGAUCACUUGGUAUACAUCUCAAACUCAGACACACAGAAAGAAUAUUACUUUAAGUGGGCUGACAUGCAAAACCCAGUGGUUUUCACCCGUCAGACUGAUUUGGACAUUAUCCUAAGAAAAUGUUUUCCAGUCUUUGUUUAAAAAUUAGGAUUAGUGGGUGUGCAAUUAAAUUUGGCUGUGUUCUUUAUUCAUGCUUUCAAUAUUAAAUGUAAUUCCUGCCUUUCAGCACAGAUUACCUAAUAUUUUGUCUGCAAUGAAGACAUUUUUAAUUUUAAACAUUUAAUUGUUCUAUUUAGUGCAUUGGGACAACCCAAAGUCCGAUAUAAGUGGCCCUCAAGCGGAUUGAAUAUUACAGAUAUAUUGUAACACAAAAGGUAAUGGGAUGUGACUUUUGUCAUAAUCCAAAUUGUCCUAUAUCUUUUUGUUAUCUAAUCUGUAUAUUUAUAUUCCAGUUUUGUCUGAUAAUGUAAACCUUUUUUUUUAUGUUGCACAACAUAUGUUUGUGUGUCUGUCAGGUUUUUAGGUAAAGAUGAUGCGAAGACUCAAUCGGGGUAUCUUCCGUCCAUUCCAAAUCCGUUUUCUAUUAAACGAAAAGACUCAAGAGGACAAGACAAUUGGUCUGUGUACGUUUUGAUGAUUUCAUUUCCUAUUUAGAAUUCAAUAACGAGAAACGGAAAAAUCUAAUUUUGUCGUUUGGGGUCUACAAAUCGGUUGACGGCUUCAAUAUUUUAUUUGCUCUUGUUGGCGGCGCUGAAACACUCCUUUUAUCUGAUUCAGAGGUGGGGGACUCGAGUCACAUAACUUGACUCAAGUCAAUUUUCAGGACGUGACUUGCUUGAUUAAAGUAUGAAAAUUACUUGACUUUGACUUGAGAACAAGUUACUUGAGACUUGAUUUGAAGUGGAAGACUCGACAAUGACUUGAACGUAUAAUAAACAAUCAGCAAUAAAAUUAAUAAUAAAAAUAUAUAUAUUAUUGUGACUUCAGCACCACUAAUCAGCGUCUGUGCCUUUAACGCUGCAUAUUUCAAACCGCGCCAAACAUGGCAGACAGUAGUCGAGCUCCACAAAUAGUCUCGUUUAGUUAUAAAGACUUUGAACUGGACUGUGCCAAAAAAGAUUUUGUCAGAUGCAAAAUAUGCAACGCAAGAAUAUCAAUUUCAUUCGACAUUUCAAAAACCACAAGGAAAGGUAAACAAGUCAUCACUUUUAUUGUCAGUUUCACAAAGAUCUGUAACGAUUACUAAUGUACGUUAAUGAAUUAAUCUUUUAUGUUUGUCAUAAUUUGGCCUUGGUUGCAUAUGUUUUUUUCAAUUAGAAAUGUGACCAUUAUCAUUACUGAUCCGUCUCGUAAAUAGAUAUUGGUAGAUAUAGAUAGAUAUAGGUAUUGGGUAAUUUGACUAUAAAAGUGGCAUAGCUUGAUUUCAAUGUUGAUGGGCAUCUUAAAAUGAGCGGCUAUUAAAUGUGCGAAUCAGACGCGUCCGAAGGAAACGGUUCUCGGCUCAGUGUACUGGUAAUCCGAAAACCGAUGCAACCGCCUUGAGUCAAGAACGAGUCAAUCUUUCAUUCAUUAUCUGGCUUGGCUCGUUGUUCAUCUUAAGUUCUCUCUUCACAGCAGUUCAGUCAGUGUAGUAUUUGAGUAAAUUAAUUUCUCCGGGAUAUUGCUUUAUUUUAUUUUAGAUGGAGUGUCAGCCACGUAAAAAAUGUUAACAGCUUAAGUCUUUUACUCGAUACAUAUUUUUUCUCGAAACAUUUUGUGUAUGCAACACAAUUUUAUUGUAUUUUCAGAUAUUAAUAUAGCACAGAUAUGCGUAUGAUUCAUAUAUAGAAAAUGUAUAAUGAAUUAGAUACAUAAUAAUUGUAUACAAGUUAAUCUUUUCUGUGCAAAAAUAAAUAUAAUAUAUAUUGAACAAAACUUACCUCUAUUUAUUUUAGUACUGUGACUUGACGUGACUUAACUUGAAACUUAUCAGAACUCGACUUGACUUGCUUAGCGUGAACCCUUGACUUGACUUGAGUUGCUUGAUUCAUCUAAACUGUGACUUGAGAUUUGAUUCGAGACUUGAUGAUUAAGACUUGAGACUUGCUUGGACUUGACCAUGUGUGACUUAUCCCCACCUCUGAUCUGAUUGGUCGAAUCGCUCCGCCCUCAGCUCGGUCUUUUCAUUCUUUUAGACAGAAUCGGUACAAGUGCGACACUGUAAUGCCUGAAACCAUCACUCGCUGUUAAUUAGCAUAAUAUUUGAGUCAGAUGUUGCUGGGCACAUAACGCCUGUUUCACACAUACUCCGUCUGCAGUGCGUAUGCUGAUAAUGAAAGAUUGUUUCUGUUCUGUGAUAAGAGUCACAGUGCUGAAAAGGAUUAUUAUUAUUAUUAAUGAUUUGAAAUAUAACAUAAUAAACAAGUGUUGUGUUUGUGGACUAAAACAGCCGUGGAUCAGUAGCUGACUGCAAACGCGUCCUGUGUGAAAGCACAAGUGCUGCUUCUGCACCGCAUACGUAACACACACGGACUGCAUACGCACUGCAGAUGGACUAUGUGUGAAACAGGCGUAAUUCGUGCUGCUGCGACCUGCAAGUGACCCCUUUAAAUUAUUUCUAGGUUAUAGUAUUCUAUGAAUAGUGUCCCACUUAUAAAUACAGUGCAAAUAGUUAUGUCUCCUCGGAUAAAAGUGAAGUGGAAAUAAAAAUCAAUCAAUAAUAGACUGUUCCAUGAAAAUAUGUCUGUAACAUUUACCACAACAUUUUUGUCUUUUAAGUCAAAAGGCACUAGGUAUGUGUGUGUGUGACAUUAAUAAAUAAUUUAGAAAUUUAAUCAAGUUAAAUUUAUGACAUAAAUUAGUAAUAUUAGUUUUAUUACACACUAAAUUGAAUGAUGUUUGAUGUUUCUCUUCUUAGUCUUCUUUGUUGGGCUUGAGAAAGCCAACAUUUAUUUGAACAUUAUUAUUAUUUAUUAUGAGAGUAAUUGACACCAAUUGAAACUUUAAUGUUUCACCAAAUUCAGCUCAUAUCUUCAGACUCGUCUGACUCGCGUUUACAUUCCCAGAAAAUCCUAGUGACUUUUGUUAUUUGAGCAAUGAAGGCCUUAACAUUUAGGCCCAGUUUCCCGUUAAUGGCUUAAAAUAAACCAGGACUAGGCUAAUUCUACUUAAAUUAAUCCACACUAAACAACUGACUUUCUGAGAUGUUGCUUAAGUUUGGAUUAACUAGUUCUAGACUACAGAGUCUCAGAUUAAGGUAAUCAAGGACAAGUGAGAUCAUCUUUUGGAAACCCGAUUAGAUUAAUGGCAUGCACAUGUGGCUAAGGAGAGGUUAUAAAAACCUGGUAUGGACUACUUGUAAUUCAUUAGUCUUAAGGAGUGUGUGGAACAGGAGUCAUUACACUUAACCAAAAAAUGGAUCAAGGCAGAAGAAAACGCUCAAAAAACUUCAGUGAAUUUGAGAAGACCCUUUUUAAACAAAUUGUAUCAAAUUAUCCUGUAAUUGAAAACAAACAGCAUGAUUCAGGUACAGAAAACAAGAAGAAGAAGGCAUGGAUUUCCAUAUUGAAUCAAUUCAACUCAAAUGAAAAAGUAACCAAACGGACACUCCAACAAGUUCAGGUCCUGUGGAAAAACAUAAAAAUAAACCUGAAAAAAACAACUGCUGCUACGCGUCAAGAGCGUUUCAAGACAGGCGGGGGACUCCCAGUUCCACCAGACACAAAGGAGUUGGGGGACUUGUUGGCUGGGAUUAUUGAAAGUCAGCAACCCCUGGAAGGUAUUCCAGAUGAUGACCAUUUGGACAGUUCAGAUGACCUGAUCUUGACACAGGACUUGAGGGGCGCAGGGAACAGUCAAGAUGCUCAAAUGAAUCCAGCAGCAGCCAGCACCAACAUGCAGCAGCAUCCAGUCUCCUGCAGUAGCAGUAGUCAGCAUCCAGCAGUCUCUAAUCCAGGCAGCAGGUCAAGAGGGAAAAGGAUGACCAUUCAUGAGAAACUUGCCAUAGAGUUCCAUGAACGUAAUUUACAAUAUUUAAAAGAAGAACAUGAAGUCAAAAUGAAAAUCCUUCAUCUUGAGUUGUCUAUGAAAGAGAGAGACAUGAAGCAGCAGCAGUGUCAACUGA